rnacentral:rRNA from 1 species
AGUGAACGCUGGCGGUAGGCCUAACACAUGCAAGUCGAACGGCAGCACAGUAAUAGCUUGCUCUUACGGGUGGCGAGUGGCGGACGGGUGCGGAAUACAUCGGAAUCUACUUUUUCGUGGGGGAUAACGUAGGGAAACUUACGCUAAUACCGCAUACGACCUACGGGUGAAAGCAGGGGAUCUUCGGACCUUGCGCGAUUGAAUGAGCCGAUGUCGGAUUAGCUAGUUGGCGGGGUAAAGGCCCACCAAGGCGACGAUCCGUAGCUGGUCUGAGAGGAUGAUCAGCCACACUGGAACUGAGACACGGUCCAGACUCCUACGGGAGGCAGCAGUGGGGAAUAUUGGACAAUGGGCGAAAGCCUGAUCCAGCCAUACCGCGUGGGUGAAGAAGGCCUUCGGGUUGUAAAGCACUUUUGUUGGGAAAGAAAAGCAGCAGGUUAAUACCCCGCUGUUCUGACGGUACCCAAAGAAUAAGCACCGGCUAACUUCGUG